CAGGUAGGGAUACCCGCUGAA
rnacentral:rRNA from 1 species